rnacentral:rRNA from 3 species
AGCGCAUACGGUGGAUGCCUUGGCAGUCAGAGGCGAUGAAAGACGUGGUAGCCUGCGAAAAGCUUCGGGGAGUCGGCAAACAGACUUUGAUCCGGAGAUCUCUGAAUGGGGGAACCCACCUAGGAUAACCUAGGUAUCUUGUACUGAAUCCAUAGGUGCAAGAGGCGAACCAGGGGAACUGAAACAUCUAAGUACCCUGAGGAAAAGAAAUCAACCGAGAUUCCCUUAGUAGUGGCGAGCGAACGGGGAUUAGCCCUUAAGCUUCAUUGAUUUUAGCGGAACGCUCUGGAAAGUGCGGCCAUAGUGGGUGAUAGCCCCGUACGCGAAAGGAUCUUUGAAGUGAAAUCGAGUAGGACGGAGCACGAGAAACUUUGUCUGAACAUGGGGGGACCAUCCUCCAAGGCUAAAUACUACUGACUGACCGAUAGUGAACCAGUACCGUGAGGGAAAGGCGAAAAGAACCCCGGAGAGGGGAGUGAAAUAGAACCUGAAACCGUAUGCGUACAAGCAGUGGGAGCCUACUUGUUAGGUGACUGCGUACCUUUUGUAUAAUGGGUCAGCGACUUAUAUUCAGUGGCAAGCUUAACCGUAUAGGGUAGGCGUAGCGAAAGCGAGUCUUAAUAGGGCGUUUAGUCGCUGGGUAUAGACCCGAAACCGGGCGAUCUAUCCAUGAGCAGGUUGAAGGUUAGGUAACACUGACUGGAGGACCGAACCCACUCCCGUUGAAAAGGUAGGGGAUGACUUGUGGAUCGGAGUGAAAGGCUAAUCAAGCUCGGAGAUAGCUGGUUCUCCUCGAAAGCUAUUUAGGUAGCGCCUCAUGUAUCACUCUGGGGGGUAGAGCACUGUUUCGGCUAGGGGGUCAUCCCGACUUACCAAACCGAUGCAAACUCCGAAUACCCAGAAGUGCCGAGCAUGGGAGACACACGGCGGGUGCUAACGUCCGUCGUGAAAAGGGAAACAACCCAGACCGCCAGCUAAGGUCCCAAAGUUGUGGUUAAGUGGUAAACGAUGUGGGAAGGCUUAGACAGCUAGGAGGUUGGCUUAGAAGCAGCCACCCUUUAAAGAAAGCGUAAUAGCUCACUAGUCGAGUCGGCCUGCGCGGAAGAUGUAACGGGGCUCAAACCACACACCGAAGCUGCGGGUGUCACGUAAGUGACGCGGUAGAGGAGCGUUCUGUAAGCCUGUGAAGGUGAGUUGAGAAGCUUGCUGGAGGUAUCAGAAGUGCGAAUGCUGACAUGAGUAACGACAAUGGGUGUGAAAAACACCCACGCCGAAAGACCAAGGGUUCCUGCGCAACGUUAAUCGACGCAGGGUUAGUCGGUUCCUAAGGCGAGGCUGAAAAGCGUAGUCGAUGGGAAACAGGUUAAUAUUCCUGUACUUCUGGUUACUGCGAUGGAGGGACGGAGAAGGCUAGGCCAGCUUGGCGUUGGUUGUCCAAGUUUAAGGUGGUAGGCUGAAAUCUUAGGUAAAUCCGGGGUUUCAAGGCCGAGAGCUGAUGACGAGUCGUCUUUUAGAUGACGAAGUGGUUGAUGCCAUGCUUCCAAGAAAAGCUUCUAAGCUUCAGGUAACCAGGAACCGUACCCCAAACCGACACAGGUGGUCGGGUAGAGAAUACCAAGGCGCUUGAGAGAACUCGGGUGAAGGAACUAGGCAAAAUGGCACCGUAACUUCGGGAGAAGGUGCGCCGGCUAGGGUGAAGGAUUUACUCCGUAAGCUCUGGCUGGUCGAAGAUACCAGGCCGCUGCGACUGUUUAUUAAAAACACAGCACUCUGCAAACACGAAAGUGGACGUAUAGGGUGUGACGCCUGCCCGGUGCCGGAAGGUUAAUUGAUGGGGUUAGCGCAAGCGAAGCUCUUGAUCGAAGCCCCGGUAAACGGCGGCCGUAACUAUAACGGUCCUAAGGUAGCGAAAUUCCUUGUCGGGUAAGUUCCGACCUGCACGAAUGGCGUAACGAUGGCGGCGCUGUCUCCACCCGAGACUCAGUGAAAUUGAAAUCGCUGUGAAGAUGCAGUGUAUCCGCGGCUAGACGGAAAGACCCCGUGAACCUUUACUGUAGCUUUGCACUGGACUUUGAGCCUGCUUGUGUAGGAUAGGUGGGAGGCUUUGAAGCGUGGACGCCAGUUCGCGUGGAGCCAUCCUUGAAAUACCACCCUGGCAUGCUUGAGGUUCUAACUCUGGUCCGUAAUCCGGAUCGAGGACAGUGUAUGGUGGGCAGUUUGACUGGGGCGGUCUCCUCCUAAAGAGUAACGGAGGAGUACGAAGGUGCGCUCAGACCGGUCGGAAAUCGGUCGUAGAGUAUAAAGGCAAAAGCGCGCUUGACUGCGAGACAGACACGUCGAGCAGGUACGAAAGUAGGUCUUAGUGAUCCGGUGGUUCUGUAUGGAAGGGCCAUCGCUCAACGGAUAAAAGGUACUCCGGGGAUAACAGGCUGAUACCGCCCAAGAGUUCAUAUCGACGGCGGUGUUUGGCACCUCGAUGUCGGCUCAUCACAUCCUGGGGCUGAAGCCGGUCCCAAGGGUAUGGCUGUUCGCCAUUUAAAGUGGUACGCGAGCUGGGUUUAGAACGUCGUGAGACAGUUCGGUCCCUAUCUGCCGUGGACGUUUGAGAUUUGAGAGGGGCUGCUCCUAGUACGAGAGGACCGGAGUGGACGAACCUCUGGUGUUCCGGUUGUCACGCCAGUGGCAUUGCCGGGUAGCUAUGUUCGGAAAAGAUAACCGCUGAAAGCAUCUAAGCGGGAAACUUGCCUCAAGAUGAGAUCUCACUGGGAACUUGAUUCCCCUGAAGGGCCGUCGAAGACUACGACGUUGAUAGGCUGGGUGUGUAAGCGUUGU